UACGUAGGGGGCAAGCGUUGUCCGGAUUUAUUGGGCGUAAAGAGCGUGUAGGCGGCCAGUUAGGUCCGUUGUGAAAACUCGAGGCUCAACCUCGAGACGCCGAUGGAAACCAACUGGCUAGAGUCCGGAAGAGGAGAGUGGAAUUCCCGGUGUAGCGGUGAAAUGCGCAGAUAUCGGGAGGAACACCGGUGGCGAAGGCGGAUCUCUGGGCCGUAACUGACGCUGAGGAGCGAAAGCAUGGGGAGCGAACAGG
rnacentral:rRNA from 1 species